rnacentral:rRNA from 2 species
UGGGCGUAAGCGCGCGCAGGCGGUUUCUUAAGUCUGAUGUGAAAGCCCACGGCUCAACCGUGGAGGGUCAUUGGAAACUGGGGAACUUGAGUGCAGAAGAGAAAAGCGGAAUUCCACGUGUAGCGGUGAAAUGCGUAGAGAUGUGGAGGAACACCAGUGGCGAAGGCGGCUUUUUGGUCUGUAACUGACGCUGAGGCGCGAAAGCGUGGGGAGCAAACAGGAUUAGAUACCCUGGUAGUCCACGCCGUAAACGAUGAGUGCUAAGUGUUAGAGGGUUUCCGCCCUUUAGUGCUGCAGCUAACGCAUUAAGCACUCCGCCUGGGGAGUACGGUCGCAAGACUGAAACUCAAAGGAAUUGACGGGGGCCCGCACAAGCGGUGGAGCAUGUGGU